AACCUUUUGUGAACCAAACCUUUCUUUUCGCUUCGGCAGCAGCGGCGAUCCCGCCGCGUCAGCCUGCCGCUAGCACCCUUGAAAACUUGCUGUAUCUCAUGUCUGAACACGAAUAUUUUGAAUUCAAUCAAAACUUUCAACAACGGAUCUCUUGGUUCCCGCAUCGAUGAAGAACGCAGCGAAACGCGAUAGUUAAUGUGAAUUGCAGAAUUCAGUGAAUCAUCGAGUCUUUGAACGCAUAUUGCGCCCAUUGGUAUUCCAUUGGGCAUGUCUGUUUGAGCGUCAUUUCAAACCCUCGACUUUGGUCGGUAUUGAGCUGGCUUUGCGGGUGCGAACCCAGGCCGGUUUUAAAGUGGUAGGCUUUGCUGUCUGCUGCUCCAAACCAAAAACAUAGUAAACUGUACUUGUUGAUGGUGGGGUGGCUCCAGCCUUGAAAAUGACACUUUGUGGUUUGACCUCAGAUCAGACAAGGAUACCCGCUGAACUUAAGCAUA
rnacentral:rRNA from 1 species